UGGGGAAUCUUCCGCAAUGGACGAAAGUCUGACGGAGCGACGCCGCGUGAGUGAUGAAGGCCCUUGGGUUGUAAAGCUCUGUCAGAGGGAAAGAAAGGGGUGUCGGAAUAAUACCCGACACCAUUGACGGUACCCUCGGAGGAAGCACCGGCUAACUCCGUGCCAGCAGCCGCGGUAAUACGGAGGGUGCAAGUGUUAUUCGGAAUCACUGGGCGUAAAGAGCACGUAGGCGGAUAGGUAAGUCAGAUGUGAAAUCCCGGGGCUUAACUUCGGAACUGCAUUUGAUACUGCCUGUCUUGAGUAUGGUAGAGGGGGAUGGAAUUCCCGGUGUAGAGGUGAAAUUCGUAGAUAUCGGGAGGAACACCAGAGGCGAAGGCGAUCCCCUGGGCCAUUACUGACGCUGAGGUGCGAAAGCGUGGGGAGCAAACA
rnacentral:rRNA from 1 species